GACGUAGGGGCGAGCGUUGUCCGGAUUUAUUGGGCGUAAAGCGUGCGCAGGCGGUUAUGUAAGACAGUUGUGAAAUCCCCGGGCUCAACCUGGGAACUGCAUCUGUGACUGCAUAGCUAGAGUACGGUAGAGGGGGAUGGAAUUCCGCGUGUAGCAGUGAAAUGCGUAGAUAUGCGGAGGAACACCGAUGGCGAAGGCAAUCCCCUGGACCUGUACUGACGCUCAUGCACGAAAGGACGUGGGGAGCAAACAGG
rnacentral:rRNA from 1 species